rnacentral:piRNA from 1 species
UCAUGUUUUCGGUAUCUCCUGAAGGAAAGG